AUUGAACGCUGGCGGCAGGCCUAACACAUGCAAGUCGAGCGGUAACAGGGGUAGCUUGCUACCCGCUGACGAGCGGCGGACGGGUGAGUAAUGCAUAGGAAUCUGCCCGGUAGUGGGGGAUAACCUGGGGAAACCCAGGCUAAUACCGCAUACGUCCUACGGGAGAAAGGGGGCUUCGGCUCCCGCUAUUGGAUGAGCCUAUGUCGGAUUAGCUAGUUGGUGAGGUAAAGGCUCACCAAGGCAACGAUCCGUAGCUGGUCUGAGAGGAUGAUCAGCCACAUCGGGACUGAGACACGGCCCGAACUCCUACGGGAGGCAGCAGUGGGGAAUAUUGGACAAUGGGCGAAAGCCUGAUCCAGCCAUGCCGCGUGUGUGAAGAAGGCCCUCGGGUUGUAAAGCACUUUCAGCGAGGAAGAACGCCUAGUGGUUAAUACCCAUUAGGAAAGACAUCACUCGCAGAAGAAGCACCGGCUAACUCCGUGCCAGCAGCCGCGGUAAUACGGAGGGUGCAAGCGUUAAUCGGAAUUACUGGGCGUAAAGCGCGCGUAGGUGGCUUGAUAAGCCGGUUGUGAAAGCCCCGGGCUCAACCUGGGAACGGCAUCCGGAACUGUCAAGCUAGAGUGCAGGAGAGGAAGGUAGAAUUCCCGGUGUAGCGGUGAAAUGCGUAGAGAUCGGGAGGAAUACCAGUGGCGAAGGCGGCCUUCUGGACUGACACUGACACUGAGGUGCGAAAGCGUGGGUAGCAAACAGGAUUAGAUACCCUGGUAGUCCACGCCGUAAACGAUGUCGACCAGCCGUUGGGUGCCUAGCGCACUUUGUGGCGAAGUUAACGCGAUAAGUCGACCGCCUU
rnacentral:rRNA from 1 species